GCCCUUUGGAUCAACAAUCAUCCACCAAUUCAAGAUCAAGCCCCGACGGCCCUUGAAGAAAGUGUUCUUCGUUCUUCGUUCAUCGUUCUUCCAAUAUCAAGCCCCGACGGCCCUUGGAUCAACCAUCCACCAAUUCAAGAUCAAGCCCCGACGGCCCUUGAAGAAAGCACCAUCGUUCAUCAUCCGUUCAUCCAAGAUCAAGCCCCAACGGCCAUUUGGAUCAACAACGUCGACAAAUCCA
rnacentral:lncRNA from 1 species